GCAGGGGUGGUUCAGUGGUAGAAUUCUAGCCUUCAUGCAGGAGACCCGGGUUUGAUUCCUGGCCAAAGCA
rnacentral:tRNA from 1 species